AUUGAACGCUGGCGGCAUGCCUAACACAUGCAAGUCGAGCGGAUGAAGGGAGGUUGCUCCUUGAUUCAGCGGCGGACGGGUGAGUAAUGCCUAUGAAUCUGCCUGGUAGUGGGGGAUAACGUCCGGAAACGGGCGCUAAUACCGCAUACAUCCUGUGGGAGAGAGUGGGGGAUCUUCGGACCUCACGCUAUCAGAUGAGCCUAGGUCGGAUUAGCUAGUUGGUGGGGUAAAGGCCUACCAAGGCGACGAUCCGUAACUGGUCUGAGAGGAUGAUCAGUCACACUGGAACUGAGACACGGUCCAGACUCCUACGGGAGGCAGCAGUGGGGAAUAUUGGACAAUGGGCGAAAGCCUGAUCCAGCCAUGCCGCGUGUGUGAAGAAGGCCUUCGGAUUGUAAAGCACUUUAAGUCGGGAGGAAGGGCAGUACGUUAAUACCGUGCUGUUUUGACGUUACCGAAAGAAUAAGCACCGGCUAACUUCGUG
rnacentral:rRNA from 1 species